CCUACGGGGGGCAGCAGUGGGGAAUAUUGCACAAUGGGCGCAAGCCUGAUGCAGCCAUGCCGCGUGUGUGAAGAAGGCCUUCGGGUUGUAAAGCACUUUCAGCGGGGAGGAAGGCGGUGAGGUUAAUAACCUCAUCGAUUGACGUUACCCGCAGAAGAAGCACCGGCUAACUCCGUGCCAGCAGCCGCGGUAAUACGGAGGGUGCAAGGUUAAUCGGAAUUACUGGGCGUAAAGCGCACGCAGGCGGUCUGUCAAGUCGGAUGUGAAAUCCCCGGGCUCAACCUGGGAACUGCAUUCGAACUGGCAGGCUAGAGUAUUGUAGAGGGGGGUAGAAUUCCAGGUGGAGCGGUGAAAUGCGUAGAGAUCUGGAGGAAUACCGGUGGCGAAGGCGGCCCCCUGGACAAAGACUGACGCUCAGGUGCGAAAGCGUGGGGAGCAAACAGGAUUAGAUACCCCAGUAGUC
rnacentral:rRNA from 1 species